rnacentral:rRNA from 1 species
UACGGAGGGGGCUAGCGUUGUUCGGAAUUACUGGGCGUAAAGCGCACGUAGGCGGCUUUGUAAGUUAGAGGUGAAAGCCCAGGGCUCAACCCUGGAAUUGCCUUUAAGACUGCAUCGCUAGAAUUGUGGAGAGGUAAGUGGAAAUUCCGAGUGUAGAGGUGAAAUUCGUAGAUAUUCGGAAGAACACCAGUGGCGAAGGCGACUUACUGGACACAUAUUGACGCUGAGGUGCGAAAGCGUGGGGAGCAAACAGG